rnacentral:ncRNA from 1 species
UACGCCAUGCGUAGGUUUGGUGGACGGGGAUUGUUGUCAAGACUUCCAGUAAGAUUCUGAUACAGAAUUUCUGG